GACGAACGCUGGCGGCGUGCUUAACACAUGCAAGUCGAGCGAUGAAGCUCCUUCGGGAGUGGAUUAGCGGCGGACGGGUGAGUAACACGUGGGCAACCUGCCUUAUAGAGAGGAAUAGCCAUCCGAAAGGAUGAUUAAUACCUCAUAAUAUUGUAGCUUCGCAUGGAGCAACAAUCAAAGGAGCAAUCCGCUAUAAGAUGGGCCCGCGGCGCAUUAGCUAGUUGGUGAGGUAACGGCUCACCAAGGGGACGAUGCGUAGCCGACCUGAGAGGGUGGUCGGCCACAUUGGGACUGAGACACGGCCCAGACUCCUACGGGAGGCAGCAGUGGGGAAUAUUGCACAAUGGGGGAAACCCUGAUGCAGCAACGCCGCGUGAGUGAUGACGGCCUUCGGGUUGUAAAGCUCUGUCUUCAGGGACGAUAAUGACGGUACCUGAGGAGGAAGCCACGGCUAACUACGUGCCAGCCGCCGCGGUAACAC
rnacentral:rRNA from 1 species